UACGUAGGUGGCAAGCGUUGUCCGGAAUUAUUGGGCGUAAAGCGCGCGCAGGCGGUCCUUUAAGUCUGAUGUGAAAGCCCACGGCUCAACCGUGGAGGGUCAUUGGAAACUGGGGGACUUGAGUGCAGGAGAGAAGAGUGGAAUUCCACGUGUAGCGGUAAAAUGCGUAGAGAUGUGGAGGAACACCAGUGGCGAAGGCGACUCUUUGGUCUGUAACUGACGCUGAGGCGCGAAAGCGUGGGGAGCAAACAGG
rnacentral:rRNA from 1 species